rnacentral:rRNA from 1 species
CCUACGGGAGGCAGCAGUCGGGAAUUUUGGGCAAUGGGCGAAAGCCUGACCCAGCAACGCCGCGUGAAGGGAGAAGUCUUUCGGGAUGUAAACUUCGAAAGAAUGGGAAGAAAAAAAUGACGGUACCAUUUAUAAGCCCCGGCUAACUCCGUGCCAGCAGCCGCGGUAAU